ensembl:lncRNA
CACUUGCAGUGGACAGAAUGUGCUCGGCACCCCCAUAGAGGGUGACAGGUGCCCUCAGUAUUAAUUCAUCUACUCCUAACGAUGCAGACUUAUAAUCCUAUUUCCCAGGUGAGGAAAUGGGCUCAGCUGCUUCCUUCAGCUAUGGUCAAGCAGCUAGUGAGUCUCAGAGCUAGAAUUUGAGCCUGGGCAGGUGAGCCCAGGACCUAAGACACUGGCACCACCUUGUCCGGAUUGACAAAGAACAACUGAAGUCUGCUGCCUCCAAGUUGUGACCAAAGUCACCGCAAGAUUCCUGGAGCCUGGAACACGAUGCGACACAAGCAGAGGAAGCAGCGGCCCAAGCUCUGACGGGAACAUGCUUCUACACGCGAGCUCACGGAAGCCCACACAGCGCUCCCUCGGGCGCGCCUGCGUGGAAGGGACCACCCCACCUCCCCCUGCCCAGUUCCCAGCUGCCUGCUCGGGGUCGCCCCGCAGAAUCAGCCCACCAAUCCAUCAGCGGGCAGCAGGCUCCGAGCUGCUGGGGGCAUAAAUCAAAUGGCAAGGAGGAAAGGUUUAAAAAAAGUCUCUGGGCCUUUGAGGCCUCCCCGCUGAUGUAUUUGGACGUCUCGGGCCGUCUGUUCGCGGAGGCCACCCCAGCCCCUGGGCCCGGCCCAGCCCCCCAAGCACGUUCCUUCCAUCAGCGGCGGCUGCCCUUGGAGGCUUUUGAAGUGGGUCCUGCUGGUGUUUAUUCGCCUUCGUGAAGAGACCGAUUGCUCGCUUUUCUGACCACGAAGACAGCUACAAAACUCCUACUGAUGACAAAACAGACCCGUAGCAGGAACUCUAGACUUCUCUCCGGUUGGGAUUUAGUACCGCUGGGCUCCUUUCUGAUCCUCGCUAGGAACUAAGUCAUCAAGAUGUAUAGCCCCACCCCCACCCCCCUUCUUCUUUAGCUCGAGCAGGUAACUUUCCAGAAGAGGAGCUGGCUGCAGAAUCUUUUACACUUGGGGUAAGACGGCUGAGUGUCAACAAACAGUAGCUGUCCUGAUGUAUCAGGUCUUCAAUGAUGCUUUAAUCUCAAGACCACUUGAUUCUUACCGCAACUGAGAAACCUUACAGGUAGAAAUACACGCGCGAUCUAGGGCCUUUUGGCUCUAGAGUGCUUUUCAAGAAUGUAACUCUUGGAGCACACUGUAGGACAGCGCUGGGCAAAUCCUGGCUUCAGGUCAGAGCUUGAUGCUCAGAGGUGAAGCGAGUUCCGGAUUUCUUCCUGGUUAGACAGGAAGCAGUUAAACAACUCUGUUCUCCUACCACAAGGAGGCGCUGUGAAGAUCGCGGUAGACCUGGAUCUUGGUUCUUGGUCACAGCGUUCUCAUAAUUAGAGACAUCCAGGAUGAGCCCAAAGGGACCUCAGAGGUGCCAGGUUUGGUGCCACCCUGUCACAGAGUGGCACCAUAGGGCAGAGGUGUCUCUGGUUCUCGCCUGGUGCUGGAGCCAGGCUUUGGGUGGCCACUAGGUCUCUGCAGGGUACUGAAGGCCUGCAGAGUCCUCCUCCUCCAGAGCAGUGAUGCUUCCAGAACCAGUGAGCACUUGCGUUUCUGCUCCUGUCUUUAAUCAGAGUGGUUUCAAGUGUCUGGUUUAUUUUUUAAACAUAGGAAAGAUUUAGCAUCAAACUUACAAGUAUUAAUCUUUGGACAUACUUUAUUUUGGAAUAAUUCAGAUUUAUAGAAAAGUGGUGAAGAUAAUACAGACAGAGGCCAUAUACCGCUCUCCCAGCCUCCCCCAAUGCUGACCUCCAAAUGACCAGGGAAGGGAACAUUAGUUUAUUACUAUUCACUAACGCCUGAAUUGGAUUUCAGCAAGGUCUCUCUUACUGUCUUUUUACUGUCUUGGCAUCUGGUCAGGGUACCAUACUGCAUUUAAGAGGGUAUUACUUUCUAUUACAAUACAGAAUUAAUUUCCUAAACAAACCAUGCCACAUGCACACACACACACACACACACACACACACACACACACACACACAAAGAAAGGAAAAGUCCCCUCUGCCCUAUUAAGUUUGGUCUGUAGCCUUCUAGAUCUUCAUCAUCCAAUACGAUACCUGGCUGAUGAGGUGACCACAAGUUAAAUGAACUAAAAUCCACCAUAACUAACAUUCAGUUCCUCAGUCACACUGAUUACAUCCCAUGGGCUCAGUAGCACACAUUGCUGGUGGUUACCAGCCCCAGGCAGCAUAGAGAGCAGAGCCUUCCAUAGCACACCGGGCUUGCAUUGUUCUAGGUGUGUUUCUAGGUUUAAAUAUACGUGUUUAACAUUUUACCUAAUUUUUUCCCCCAUUGAUUGACUUUUUCUUUCAUUAAAAGAUUUGUAGCAUGCAA